UACGUAGGGUGCGAGCGUUGUCCGGAAUUAUUGGGCGUAAAGAGCUUGUAGGCGGUUUGUCGCGUCUGCCGUGAAAAUCCGGGGCUCAACUCCGGACUUGCGGUGGGUACGGGCAGACUAGAGUGUGGUAGGGGGAGACUGGAAUUCCUGGUGUAGCGGUGAAAUGCGCAGAUAUCAGGAGGAACACCGGUGGCGAAGGCGGCUUGCUGGGCCUUACCUGACGCUGAGGAGCGAAAGCGUGGGGAGCGAACAGG
rnacentral:rRNA from 1 species